rnacentral:rRNA from 1 species
UACGUAGGGUGCAAGCGUUGUCCGGAAUUAUUGGGCGUAAAGAGCUCGUAGGCGGUUUGUCGCGUCUGCUGUGAAAACCCGAGGCUCAACCUCGGGCCUGCAGUGGGUACGGGCAGACUAGAGUGCGGUAGGGGAGAUUGGAAUUCCUGGUGUAGCGGUGGAAUGCGCAGAUAUCAGGAGGAACACCAAUGGCGAAGGCAGCAAACUGGCCGGCAUCUGACGCUGAGGCGCGAAAGCGUGGGUAGCAAACAGG